CUGCAACCCGACUCCGUGAAGCUGGAUUCGCUAGUAAUCGCGCAUCAGCCAUGGCGCGGUGAAUACGUUCCCGGGCCUUGUACACACCGCCCGUCAAGCCAUGGGAGCCGGGAGUGCCUGAAGGCCGUGACCGCAAGGAGCGGCCUAAGGUAAAACUGGUGACUGGGGCUAAGUCGUAACAAGGUAAC
rnacentral:rRNA from 1 species